CAAAAGUUCAAACCUUUACAACCUUUGGAGAAUCCAGCAGUGAACAAAGACAAAGUUGGUGUAAGGAGUUGAUAUAAUUACAGCAACAUCAUAAAGAAAAUCUCCAUCAGAUCCAGUGAACCUCAUCAUUGCAUCAGAGAGGGACAGUGGGAUCUAAAAGUUUGGAUGAUGCUACCAUUCUGUAUGUGUGCAGCUGUUUCUGUUGUUUUUGUUUUCCCGGUUUUCAAGUUUUGUCAAAAUAUAGUAAAAUCUCAAAAAAACAAAAAGAAUCAUCUGUCAAGACAAAUGCAGGAUGCCACCCUGGAAAUCUACCACCCGUCUGUGGGACCAAAGAGGAAGAACGCAACUCACACUUCAACCUGUAGCACAUAUUCUGCUGUCCAAUACUCCGCAAUUGUGGAUCAUCUUCCAUAAAGGAAAUGAGGAAACUGA